rnacentral:tRNA from 1 species
GCAGUGAUGGGUCAGUGGUAGAAUUCUUGCCUUCCACGUGGGAGACCUGGGUUCGAUUCCCAGCCAAUGCA